GACGAACGCUGGCGGCGUGCCUAAUACAUGCAAGUAGAACGCUGAAGGAGGAGCUUGCUUCUCUGGAUGAGCUGCGAACGGGUGAGUAACGCGUAGGUAACCUGCCUGGUAGCGGGGGAUAACUAUUGGAAACGAUAGCUAAUACCGCAUAAUAGUAGAUGUUGCAUGACAUUUGCUUAAAAGGUGCAAUUGCAUCACUGCCAGAUGGACCUGCGUUGUAUUAGCUAGUUGGUGGGGUAACGGCUCACCAAGGCGACGAUACAUAGCCGACCUGAGAGGGUGUUCGGCCACACUGGGACUGAGACACGGCCCAGACUCCUACGGGAGGCAGCAGUAGGGAAUCUUCGGCAAUGGACGGAAGUCUGACCGAGCAACGCCGCGUGAGUGAAGAAGGUUUUCGGAUCGUAAAGCUCUGUUGUAAGAGAAGAACGAGUGUGAGAGUGGAAAGUUCACACUGUGACGGUAUCUUACCAGAAAGGGACGGCUAACUACGUG
rnacentral:rRNA from 1 species